CUUCAUCUGAUUUCUCUGAAAGUUCACCUCAGAGGGUAACAAAGCAGCGCUUGUGAUGUAAAUAUGGAAGAACCACACUGACAGCCAGUAAGCCAUGAGGUUCUUCUAUCUAUCGAUCAAGUUGUCACUCCUACUUCAACGCAGGUUACCAGUUUUCAUCAGAACUUGAGUAGAAUAUGAAUGUUAUGGGAUACUUGAGAGACAACAGGUGCCACUCACAAAUAAGAAUUCAUGCGCACGUACCUCAGCAUCCUGACAGAGAGAAGCACAAUCCAGACAAAGUAACAGAAUUAAAAAAUAUCUGUGGCACUGGUCUGGGUUCACCUUCUGGAAUUAAGAGAUUGUUCAAAUUACCUGAUGUGCAUUACUAUUUAAAUCUAGCAAGUGAUUUCCAACUGCCUCCAAAAGGUGUUCAAAAUACAAAAUACUAGAAUAUUAAAACAUUCAGAUAACCUGAAUGUGUGGUGUUUUUUCUUUAGGAAUACCCUAAAUAUGAAUUAUUUAAGGCACAGCAAUC
rnacentral:lncRNA from 1 species